rnacentral:rRNA from 1 species
CUAUACAUGACUCUGCGCAUAUCAAUAAGCGGAGGAAAAGGUACCUACGCUUAGGAUGUUGACGAGACUGUCGAUCUCAUCUAUACAUGACUCUGCGCAUAUCAAUAAGCGGAGGAAAAGGCUGCGGAACUGAACGACCGCUACCUACGCUUAGGAUGUUGACGAGACUGUCGAUCUCAUCUAUACAUGACUCUGUGCAUAUCAAUAAGCGGAGGAAAAGAAACUAACUAGGAUUCCCUCAGUAACGGCGAGUGAAGCGGGAAGAGCUCAAAUUUGAAAUCUUCAAGGUUCUACCUUGACGAAUUGUAGUUUAAAGAAGCGUUUUCUGUUGGAGUUUUGGUAAAAGUUCUUUGGAAUAGGACAUCAUAGAGGGUGAGAAUCCCGUAUUUGACCAUUAUUUCCAACUUUGUGAUACACUUUCAAAGAGUCGGAUUGUUAGGGAAUGCAGUCCAAAAUGGGUGGUAAAUUUCAUCUAAAGCUAAAUAUUGGCGAGAGACCGAUAGCGAACAAGUACCGUGAGGGAAAGAUGAAAAGAACUUUGAAAAGAGAGUUAAACAGUACGUGAAAUUGUCAAAAGGGAAGCGUUUGACACCAGUGUUGUUUUUCCGAAAAUCAAUUAUGAAUGGCUUGAUUUUAAGUUUCAUGACCUUAAAAGCUUGUUUCUUAUUUUUCAUGUCUUUCGUAAUGCACUUUUCGGUUAGCAAGUCAACAUCAAUUUCUUUUGUUGUAAAAGGUUAAGAGGAAGGUGGCUUUACUUUCGGGUAAAGUGUUUAUAGCCUUUUAACUCUGCAAUCGGAGAGAUUGAGGUCUGCAGCGUAGAUCCUUCGGGGUUAGAUACAUUUGUGCUAAGUUAUAGCUUUUCAUAGACAACUUGUUGACUAUGUUAAGUCUUGUAAUUUACUCGCAGAUGCUAUUUUACCUACGCUUAGGAUGUUGACGAGACUGUCGAUCUC